CAGGUGCAGUGUCUUUCCCUCCUGCAGGGAGUGGGUACUGAAGAGCAGCAUCCUCAUUGCCAUGGCUGUUUACACAUAUCUCCGUCUCAUCGUUGACCACCAUGGGACUGCCCAGCUCCAGGCCCUGCGGCAGAAGGAGGUGGACUUCUGCAUCUCGCUGCUUCGGGAACGGGUGAGGAAGUAGGAUAAGAUCAGUAUGGGGAAAUGAGACCCAGGAUGGGAUGCCCCUAUAGGUUUCAUGCACCAGGACUGGAGAUGCCUUUUCAGAUGUGGAAGUGGUUUAAAAUCUAGCAUUUUUCAUUGUCCUUAGAUAAGAGUAGAAUCUAAGGAGGGAGAAUCAGUGUGGAAUAACCCUUGUUCCUAGAAAUGCUAGCAUCCUGGGGAUUUUCCUGGUCACUGUCAAGGACACUGUUGUACAACAGACCCAAGCUGUUCUUUUGUAUACCCACUUAAGCUGUUCUGUCAUCCUACCACCUACCCAAGUAAUUGCCAUGGUCAUGUGGGAUUAUGAAUUGUCUGCUAUCAGAUCUCCCAAGAGAGAGAUCCUAGAAUUAAGUUAAUAUAAUGGCUGUUGACUACAUUUGGUAAUUUAUUAAUUAAUGUCAGAUUUUAAAGUUCCUUAAUUACCUUAGCCACAUGUUGCUAAUGGUAUUGUUUGGAAUGCAUAAAUGUAGAUCAUUUCCAUUACCACAAGAGGUUCUGUUGUACAAGAAUUUUGGGGUAGGGUGUCUGGGGCUCCACUUGCCUGUCCAAUAGUUUUGGAAUCUUAGUCUCUUUGAACUAAAUCAGAACAGUUCUGGGUGGAGAAGGGAAUAGAUUAGUGUGAAAGUCAGCAGGGCUUCAGCACUUCCCAGUAACUUUUCUUCCUUGGUAUCAGUCCCUAGCUUCCAGCUCUCUUCCAUAAACAGCUAGGAACCAAUCCCUUGGUUCUAGAAGAAAUCACAUAGUCCCUUCAACCUUCUUUCCUUCCCUCCCUGGAACAUGCUGUUCUUUUGUCCUCUCUCCAGAAGGUAAACAGUCUGUGUUUUUAUUCUCUUUCCUGUCCCCACUUCCUUCACCUCCUCACAUCAAGUUCAUGGAAUGUUUGAUGAUUGGCCGGGACCUUGUAAGACUACUUCAGAAUGUUGCUAGGAUACCAGAAUUUGAACUGCUUUGGAAAGAUAUUAUCCAUAACCCUCAGGCCUUGAGUCCUCAAUUUACAGGUAAGUAAGCCCUUGGGCAUCUUGUCCUUGAGAGAUGGCAAGUUAGCCUAUAUGUCCUAUAUUCAGAGGGCAGAGGUUGGUGGGUAGGACUGCCUUUGGCAAUCAGAGAAGGUUUGGGGCAGGGCAAGCUUUGCCAAGUACAGCUAGAUAUUGGAACCGCAGAAGUACUGAACAAUUCAUGUGAUUCCUAGACAGUCCCUGCUUGGCAGACUCCAGCUAUCAUUACUCCUAAGAAAAUAGUGAGAACUAUGAUCUUCUUCCUCUCCUGGAAGCUCCUUGGCUCAGGAGGUGAGCUGAUGACCAGUCUUUGACUUCAAUGAGUCUGGCAGGGAGUCAGAGGUCAACUCCAUGAGACUGAGUCAGCAGAGGAGCUAGAAUUAGUCCUGUAAGAGAUGGCCCCUCCCUGGAAGCAGUCUGGCCUCUUAAUUCCAAGGAUCCAACUUGGCCUAAAUCAUCUUUAGGGGAGAGAGUCUCUGUGUUCUUUCCCCUGACAUGGUCCUUUCAAUGUCCCUUUCCCUUUCCCAGAGCAAUAACUCUACAGCUUUGCUCCCUGGCCCACCUUUAAAGCACAUUCAUACAUAUGCACGCACACCUACAGAGCACUCUUCUAGAAUCUGAGAAGUGGGGAAAGUGCUGGUGCUACCUGAUAAUGCACUAUUCUUACAUCAAACAUGUCAGGUUACUUUGAGUGUCACCUCUAUGUUAGGCAUAUGUAUGUAAUUUAAACCUUAGAACAGCUCUAGAUUAUGGGUAUUUUAUUUCCCUUACAGUUGAAGAAACUGAGGUUCAAAAAAAGAAACGGAGCUGGACAUGGUAGCACACACCUAUAAUCCCAAUGACUCAGAAGGCUGAAGUAGGAGUAUUGAAAGUUCGAGGCCAGCCUGGGCAACCUAGCAAGACCCUGUCUCAAAAAUAAAAGGGCUUGGGCUGGGGAUAUAGCUCAGUUGGUACAGUGCUUAUCUCAGUUGGCCAGUGCAUGCACAAGGCCCUGGGUUCAAUCUCUAACACCACAAAAAAUAAAAAUGAUAGAUAGAUAGAUAGAUAGAUAGAUAGAUAGGCUGGGGAUGUGACUCAGUGGUAGAGCACCCUUAGGUUCUCUACCCCAGUAUCACCCCCUAAAAAAAAGAGAGAAAAUAAAAGAAACUGAGGUUCAAACAGGUUAAUUUGCUCAAGUGUAAGUGACAGGCAGGAUUUGGAUCAGGUUAUCCUGACUCCAGAGCUUAUGGUUAUGCUGCCACAUCACAUCCAUGCAAGGAUCAGGAGCAGGAAGACAAGCUAGAGUUUCCAUAUUUUUCUCUUAAUUUUCCCACCUGUUGCCAACUGCAAUAAUGGGGGUAGGGGACUCUGUAAAACCAGCAGAGGAAGGGAAUUAAUGUAACAGGAAUGUAGUUGGUUGGACAAAACGCACAGAUGCUAGUUAGAAUCCCCAUCUGUGUUGAUGCUUGGAAUUGCCUCAUGAACAAGACCACUGGCCAUCAGUACCUGGCCCAGUUUUCCCAUCUGUCUGCCAUUCCGUAGUUCUCAGGUUUCUCUCUUUUUUCUUCCCUAAAACACUUGGCUCAGGUAUCCUACAGCUUCUUCAGUCAAGAACAUCCCGAAAAUUCCUAGCAUGUCGUCUAACCCCAGAUAUGGAAACUAAGCUCCUCUUCAUGACAUCCCGGGUGAGCUCACCUAUUGCAACAGGAAGAGGAAUUGCAGGUGCUAGUUGGGCUUCUUGCUUCUGUCUGCAGAUCUGUUACUCUGAGUACUGAUCCACAGAGUGGUAGCUAAGUGGUAGCCCUUAUCCACAUGGCUACUGGCUUCUUUCCUUUGUUAAUUCUGUGCCUAUACACUGUGCUCAGUGCUAAGAAUUGGAGAUAAGGGUUGAAUAAGAGAGAUGCAGUUCUAGCUCUGUGAAGCUUUCAGUCUAUCUAAAGUAGCCAUUAUGCAGAGAAUUAUAUGCAAGUGUGAACUGUGCUGUUAAAGUUUAGAGUGAGAAUGUUUAUUCUGUCCAUGGUUCUUCCAGGGAAACUGUGAGCUUUCAAGGUAGCUAUGACCUUUUAGUGUCCAAAUAUGGCUGAACGGUGGUAAAACUGCUUGAGGAACAUGUUAUAGAUGGAAUCUGAUCAAAUAAAGAACCACUGCCCUAGCCAACUUUUGGAUCCCCAAGUUAUCUAGGAGAACUGUCCAGACCUUUGGUGUCCUUUGUAAUAGCCACUAGCCAUAUUUUGCAAUUUAAAUAUAAGUUAGUUAAAAUUUAGUAUCUUGUUUGCAGAAGCUACAUCUGAACUGCUCAUGGCUACCAUCAUUGCAGGAAGUUUUGUUGUGAAGUGUGGUCUGAGUGUAACUUUUUGUUUACCUUUCUGCCAUUUGGAUUUCUUCUGACAGGGGAAUAGAGGAGGAAAACAGAUCCUCCUUUUUUGCUAUUUAUAACCAUUUGGGUCUAUUUAGAAGUUUUAGAGGGCUGGGGAUGUGGCUCAAGCGGUAGCGCGCUCGCCUGGCAUGCGUGCGGCCUGGGUUUGAUCCUCAGCACCACAUACAAACAAAGAUGUUGUGUCCACCGAUAACUAAAAAAAAAAAAAAAACACUAUCGUGAUUCCCUGAAGAAAAAAAAAAGAAGUUUUAGAGUCUGUGCCUUGGAUAAUGGUCCUGUUAGGUUGCUGGAUGGCAGGAAGCACUCAGUGCUGAAUGGUGAACAGGUUUAGUUCUUGCUUUCAAGGAACAUUCCUUGUUGUCCAGUAGGCUCCAGAAAAUAAGAAAAGAUUAUACUUAGGACCAAAUCUUCAGUGACCAGUGUUGGAGCAAGGAGCCAAAAAUAGACCACAGUUGUUGGGGGUAAAUGUGGCAUCAGGUCAGGGCUGAGAAUGAAUGCACCCAUGACAUGCAAGGCAGCCUAGAAAGACUUAGAGUACUUUUUAAAAUCAUGAAAUAACCCCAAAAGGAAAAGACACUCAAGAGACAGUGUGAGCUAAUGAGUAAGUUGUAGGAAGAAAUGAAGGUCUAGGUCAAACAUGGAGUUUAACAGUUCUCAUAGAUUCCACCCUGCUUUCCAAGUUUCUUUUUCUAACUUUUCCCUCCUCAGGUGCGGUUUGGUCAACAAAAGAGAUACCAAGACUGGUUCCAGCGCCAGUAUUUGUCAACCCCAGACAGUCAGUCUCUACGCUGUGACCUCAUUCGCUACAUCUGUGGGGUAGUCCACCCUUCUAAUGAAGUGCUGAGUUCUGACAUCUUGCCUCGAUGGGCCAUCAUUGGUUGGCUCCUGACAACAUGCACGGUAGGGGGCUGGGCCACAGGGUAGAGGAUGUUGGACAGUGAAGGAUGCCUUCUGUAUUUCCAUGCUUCUUGCUGGACUCUCCAGGGCCAUUUGAUCCAUAAGGACCCUUCUUUCACUGUUGUCUUUCAAAUGUUUCAGGCUCUUAUUCCAUUACCUUUGUGUCUCAAGAAAUUUUGUUAGACUCAUUAUUUCUCAUCUGGGUUGGGGAUUCAAUAGGUCCAUCUAUCUCUUUAUUACUAACCCCCAAAAUCCUGGAUUUCUGAAGCAUUCUUGCCUUUUUCCUUUGAGCUUCUGGAUACCACAAAGUUAGGGCUUGCAUUCUUUAGACCCUCACCUCCGUGCUUCUGGCAUCAGCUUCGGAUAAAGGAGCCAUUUCCUUCCCAGCAUUUUCCUUCCUGUGUUGAGAUGGAAAACCAUCCAUUCUCUGACAUCUUCUGACAGGGUUUCCCCUUUCUUCUCUGAUUAGAUUCUUAGAAUGUACUGAUUCAAAUAUGACAAAAGACUAUUCCUAGAGGGCCUUUUCUUCAGAAAUGUGGGUGGGGGAGCCCACCAAGGGCAGCCCAGGGGCCAUCUGAGUAUUGCCUUGACUCAGAAGUAAUGAGUGAACUCCUAAGUCCAAGUGUUGUCCCUUAGGGGAGGAGAGGUAUAUCCUCCUGGGUGUGUGAGGAUCCCAGCCAGUCCCAUCCCCUUGGUUGGUAAGACCACAGGGUUCUCGUGCUCACAUGUAACACAGACGCAGAUCGUGGGGCUCCACCACGUUUCACUGGGACCUGAAUUUCACAGGUGCAGCAACAAAGUAAGCCCUGGAAUCUGCCCUGGGCUUCAGAAGGGAAGGGAGACGGUUGAUGAAAUUAGCCCUUUAUUUUUGUCCUUCUCUUUUCCAGUCCAAUGUUGCUGCCUCUAAUGCCAAGCUGGCUUUGUUUUACGACUGGCUGUUCUUUAGUCCAGACAAGGAUAGCAUUAUGAACAUAGGUAUGUGCCCCAGACCAGGCAGCACCACCUUCCCCUUCCUCAGGCCCCACUGCCUCGUCCUGGUGACAGCAGUCAUAAAUCUGAGGGCAGCACGGAGUGGGAGCAGUUUAUCUGGGAGCAGUUCCGUUGUUCCUCAUCAGUUCUUCCUUGACAGAAAAUUGCUUUGGUGAGGCUAAGCAAUCACCACCCUCUCCCUUCUCCCCAUAGCCUCAUCCCUGGGCUCUGGGUGGGAAGGGCCUGGGCAGAGGAAAAGAUGUGCCAUGUCCUGCUUUUCCUUUCCUCCUACCUCCAUUCUUCAAGCUGUAUGCUGAAGACAAGAAGGAAGAAUGAGGGCUAAGAACAGUUGGGGGACUGGUUGCUCUCAGAGCUGCCCGAUAGGAAUGAGCACUCCCCAGAGCCUUUUAGUAUAUGUUGACAUCCCAUUUUGUGGAUGUGGAAACAGAAAGUCUGAUGUGGGGGGGGGGGAAUCCUUUAAUUCCACAUUCUCUAGAGCCAGCCAUCCUGGUAAUGCAUCAUUCUAUGAAGCCCCAUCCAGCCAUCACUGCCACACUCCUGGACUUCAUGUGCCGUGUAAGUGCCAGAGCCCCCUCUCCUCCCAGUUCCUGGAUGCAGAGUUACAUCUGUAUCCAUAGUCUUUCACUGAUGGAGUCUUUCCUGGCCCCCUUGUCCGGAGCAGAAGUGGUCAACUCAGUGAAUGCUUCCCUUCAUAUUACCACUGCUCCAGUUGGAUCAUCCCUUGUUUCCAUGAUUUUCUCAAUUGUAGGAUGACAACUCAAGGUAGAAUCUAGUCUCCUUGAGAAGCAGCUGGGUCCAGUAAGUGUCCCAACUGCCUAGCCUGAAAUAGUCAGAUAUGCUCCAUUCCUCUGCAGACAUACUACCCCAGUGUUCCCUGACCACAACCAAAGCAGUUUCUUAGAUCUAGUUCAGCAGAACACUCUAUUCAGAGUCCUGUGCCAUUCUUCCCUCCUCUUCUUUCCUUCCAGAUCAUUCCCAACUUCUAUCCACCUUUGGAAGGCCAUGUGCGGCAGGGUGUCUUUUCUUCCCUCAACCACAUUGUGGAGAAACGGGUCUUGGCGUAAGGAGUUUAUAUGUAGGGAGGUGGAGGUAUGGGGUUCUCCCAUUUUUCCUUAGGUCCAGCCCCCUCUGGGUCAGGCACAUCCAGAUAUUGUCAUAACACUGCUGACCCUUUCCCCUGGCAGGUAUAACAAGUACUGGAUUCCUCUCCCCCACCCCCAAACUACGGGGCAUAUGUCCUGUUGAGUCUCAAAGGAAUUUCUCUCCUGCCAUUAUAUUACAAAGGGCUUCAAAUGCCUUCCUUUCCCGUUACCCCUUGGAAGGAUCUGAGGAUGUCCCAGUCUUACUGAUUGGACCUAGGUCUCACUCUUUAUCUCCAUGUUGAGUUAGAAAUGAGGAACUCUGAUGUUGACCUUCAUUUAUGUUUCCCAUUAGACACUUGGCUCCCCUGUUUGACAACCCUAAAUUGGAUAAAGAGCUGCGGGCCAUGCUGAGAGAGAAAUUUCCUGAAUUCUGCAGCUCACCCUCCCCACCUGUGGAAGGUAUGGUGGUAGUCCUGCUGUCAUCUGUGUUAGAAGAAGGAUGAAGCCAUCCAAGGUGUAGACUAGAGCCCUGUUUGUGAUGUUGUCCCUGGGGAGUUCUCCUCUUAACACUGUCUCAGUGUUCUCUUUUUAUUAUUGCUGUGUUGUCUCCCUUGGUUCUCUCUCGCUCCAUCAAAUCUUACUUGAUUUUUCCCUCAUCUGUCUUGAUCUCUUAACCCUUUUUUUCUCUCCAGUAAGUAGAGGCCCUCAUGGAAUGUUUGUUGUCUCACUGUACCCAUCCCUUCUCUCUUCCCAUCCCUCCACCCUUGCCCCUGAUGAGAGGUUGCACAGUAGGUCCCAGUCUGCCAUUUCCCUGCCAGCCAUCCCCCACAUACUUUUUGUCUUGGGAUCAGGGCUUAAGCCAAGCACUACUUCCGAAUUUGGUUUUAAAUUAAAGAGCACAAGAGAUUGUCUCCACUCAUCCUGAGCUAAGGAUAGAAAAUUCAUGUCCUGUGUUGUUCCUUUUCCUGGCAGCAUCUCCCUACAGGUCAUAGAAGGUUGUAAGGACAAGAGAUUUGUCCUUGCAGGUUCAGUGUUCCAUUUAGCACAUAAACUCUGUAUUCUCCCACUUACACUCCAGCCUCCCCUUCCCAGAAGCUUGGGACAUACUGGAGGCCAUCAGAUACCUUUCUCUCUUUACUCCCAAGUCAAAAUUGAAGAGCCAGUUUCCAUGGAGAUGGAUAACCAUCUGUCAGAUAAGGAUGAGAGUUGCUACGACAAUGCUGAGGCAGCCUUCAGUGAUGACGAGGAGGAUCUCAACAGCAAAGGUGAGGAUGGCAUAGGAGGUGGCUCAGGAUUGUGACAGCCCUGGGAGGGUCAUUUCCCAGGAGCAGCCUGUCUGCAGUCUUUCUGUCCUAUCAUCUCUGCCCGCCUGAGUCCGUCUUGGUAACAGCAUCACUGAAUGAGACUCAGGGUGUAAGCCCUGCAUUUAACUUACGAGGUAAAAUAAGUGGUUCCUGCCCACUUGUGGGUAAGAGCUAGGACAUGUAUACAAUCAUGUAUUUGCACAGCAUUGAGUAAACAGUCCCCAAGGACUGUGGGGAAGGAACAGAUGAUUUAAGGGGACUCUGUGUUGCUGGCAUUUGAGCAAAUUGACUUCUAAAUCUCUCCCUUCAGGAAAGAAGAGAGAGUUUCGUUUCCACCCUAUCAAGGAGACAGUUGUGGAGGAGCCAGUUGAUAUCACCCCUUACCUCGACCAGUUGGAUGAGUCCCUAAGGGACAAAGUACUCCAGCUACAGAAGGGGAGGUAGGUACAGACCCUUCUCCUCACCUUGUGGGGGGAUGUCCAGUCCAUGCUUUCUCCCUUGUGCCUAGUAUGUGUGGCAGAAUGAUGUGGCUUGGAGAGCAAUGUGAUGGGGUAUAUGGGAAGGUAGCUGAAGCUUCAUGAGUGAUGUCUUCCGCAGCUUAUGUUGGGGAGUACGAGUACAGGCAGGGAGUGGAUUGGCCUGUACUCUAACACCUUGGUUCCUACUCCCUAGGUUCUGAGGAUAAUAGCCUCAGAGAACACAUGUAAGAUGGAUGGGGAUUUCCCUAUUCUUUGGGCCUCUGCCCAGAAAACAGCAAAUUCUGCCCUAAUUCUGCCUCCCUCACCCAAGCUGGGAUUUUACAUAGAGCUCCUUUGUUUUGUCUCUGUUCGUUUGAGUGCUCGUGUAUAGUGUUCUCUGUGUCCUGCCUUCUGCUAUCAUUUAUGUCCUUGGGAUUUCCUCUCACUUCUGUACUGCAGUGAUACAGAGGCCCAGUGUGAGGUCAUGCAGGAAAUUGUGGACCAGGUCCUGGAGGUGAGGAGGAACCUACGCCCUUAGGGAGGAAGGAGCCCAGCUGUCCAAGUUAGAGCUCCCCAUGCAGGUGUCUCCCUGGGAAUGUGACUCCCUCCUUCCUCUCCCCUAGAAGAGUCCCUCUCAGGGGGGCUGGAGAAUUGCUGAUCCUGUAGGUGGAAGCAGAUAAGCUCAGAGGCUCUGGGGCAGUGGGGACAGUGGGCACAGUGAGGUUUGGACCUGGGUCAUGAUAUCCUUUCCUUCCCUUAUCUACCACCCAGGAAGACUUCGACUCAGAACAGCUGUCUGUCCUUGCUUCCUGUCUACAAGAGCUCUUCAAGGCCCACUUCCGAGGAGAGGUGCUGCCUGAGGAGGUCACAGAGGAGUAAGGCUCAUCUUCCCUGAUGCCCUUGGCCUCAGGAGCCAGAAAUAUGUUCUUACAACCCAAGCCCAAGAGGCACCAUGCUGUAGACUUGAGAAGAAGAAUCUGUUCACUUGGUUUUCUGAUUCCUGAUGUGUACUGAUUGAAAAUGAGGGUUUAUUUUGCCUGCUGGACCCUGUGUGUACUGGAGUUGUAGACUAGUAUCCCUGCCCUGUCCUUCCAGCCCUGCUGCUGGGCCAGUAGCCCCAACCUUUAUUUCUUCAAGUAGAAUUGGAUCCUAGAUUCCCCCUGAAGAGAGGAAUCUCCCUUUCUGUGAUAAUGAUAGCCUCAGACUGUGAUUUCCAGGUUGGGAACUUGUUUUCUCUGCUAUCAAGCUUCUGGAGCCACAGGAAGUUUGCCUUUUGGGUAGGAUAGGAGCAGGCUGGUGUCUGGCCUCUGUGUGGUCCCCCUGUGAUCUGCCUGCAGCUGCCCCUCCUCUUCUGUGGAUUCUCAUGUGUGACCCUUCUUUCGUAGGUCCCUGGAGGAAUCUGUAGGGAAGCCUCUCUACCUGAUAUUUAGGUAAGCACCCAGUGGUAAGAGGAACUGCUCUCCCCUCCAUUCUCCCUACAGCACACAUUUGUCCCUGUCCUGGGUCACAUGGCUCUGUUUCCAGAGAGGAGGAGGUUUGUAGUGGGCAGAGUCUCCCUGGGUAAUGCCUCUCCUUUUCCCCCACCUCCAGGAACCUGUGCCAGAUGCAGGAAGACAACAGCAGCUUCUCUCUGCUCCUGGACCUUCUGUCUGAGCUCUAUCAGAAGCAGCCCAAGAUUGGCUACCACCUGCUCUACUACCUGAGGGCCAGGUGGGUGUCGGGUAGCUACUGGAGAGCCAGCCUUUCUCCCCUGCACAUCGAUUCCCUUGGCUCUCUUCACCAGCACCUUCCAUGCGUUUUGGUGCUAGGGAUAAAUCCAGGGCCUUGUGCAUGCUAAGUGUUUGUUUUUUUAAAUAACAGCUUUAUUGAGGUAUAAAUUUUUGUACCAUAAAUUUACUUUUUUUUUUUAAUUUUUUUUUUUUUAGUUGUAGUUGACACAAUACCUUUAUUUUAUUUAUUUAUUUUUAUGUGGGGCUGAGGGUCGAACCCAGGGCCUCACACAUGCUAGGCAAGUGCUCUACCGCUGAGCCACAACCCCAGCCCCCAAAAUUCACUCUUUUGAAGUGUACCAUUCAGUGUUUUUUAGGGUACUCACAAAGUUAUACAAAUAUCACUGCUGUGUAACUUAAAACACUUCAUCACUCUUAAGGAAACCUCCUUAUUCUCUCUCUCUCUUUUAAGAUGGGUUCUUUGUUGCCUAGGUUAAGCUCAUACUCUUGGAUUCAAGAGAUGCUCCUGCCUCAGCCUCCUAGGGAACUAGGACUAUACACAUAUACUGCCAUACUUAGUCUUUCUCGAUUUUAACCCUGUUGUUUGUCUUUUUAUUGCUGCCCUUUUUUCUCUUUCUUGUUUUUGGUACUGGGGAUUGAACAGGCUCCACACAUGCCAGGUAGGCAGUCUACCACUGAGCUACAUCCACAGCCCUUUUUACUUUGAGGCUGGGUCUCUUUAAAUUGUCCAUCCUGAGCCAAACUUGGUGAUCCUUCUGCCUCAUCCUCCUGAGUAGCUGGGAUUAUAGGCACAUAAUAUUCUAAUAGUAUGGAUACAGGUUGUCUUAUUUUUUUGGUGCUGGGGAUUGAACCGAGGACCUCACGUGUGCUGAGCUCAUGUUCUAGCACUAAGUUUCACCUGCCACCUUCCAAGCCUGUCUUUUCACUUUAUAUAAUUUUUAUAUUUAUUCAUAUAUAUAUUUACUUAUUUAUUUAUUUUAGUUGUAGACGGUCAUAAUACCUUCAUUUUAUUUAUUUAUUUUUAUGUGGUGUUGAGGAUCAAACCCAGUGCCUCACAUGUGCUAAUAAAUAAGCAAGCGCUGUACCACUGAGUUACAACCUUAGCCCCUCUUUUCACUUCUUUGGUGAUAACCCUUUUAAAACACCAAAGUGGCAGGGUGCAGUGGCACACUCCUGUAAUCCCAGAAGCUCAGGAGGCUAAGGCAGGAGGAUUUCAAGUUCAAAGCCAGCCUCAGCAACUUAGUGAGGCCCUAAAUAACUUAGUGAGACUGUGUGUCAACAUUAAAAGAACAGAGUGGGGAGAGCUAGAGAUGUGGCUCAGUGGUUAAGCACCCCUGGGUUUAAUCCCCAGUACCAAAAACAAACAAAAAACACGAAAGUAUUAAAUUUUUGUGAAGUCAAAUCUGUUUUUCCUUUUGUCACUUGUUUUUGGUAUUAUGAAGACUUGCUCCUGUUUUCUUCUAAGUGUUGUGUGGUUUUUGUUCUUAUAGUUAAGCCUAUUAGCCAUUUGAGUGAAGUUUUGUGUAUGGUAUGAGUUGGUACUGUCCUCAUGGAUAGAACCCAGAAGGAAGAGAGCUGUCUCUAACCUGACCCUAGUCUUCCCUCUCCUGUCACUCUGGCAGUGAGUAGCUUCAUUGAUCUCAGAGCCCUGUGUGGGUACUGGGAAGAGAUGGGGAAGCAAGAGUGUCUCCUGAUUCUUAGGUUGUCAAGCCCUUGGGAAAGGCAGGAAGGAAUAAAUAAAUAAAAGGGGACAAAUGAGCACAGGGCAUGUAGGAGAGACGAAGGCAUUCCAGGGUAGGAGCAGACUGCUUCAGAACAUCUCAAAUUCUGGUGCUGUGGUCCGGCUACUGACUUGGGCCCAAUUGGUUUUGCAGCAAAGCUGCCGCUGGGAAGAUGAACUUGUAUGAGUCAUUUGCCCAGGCCACCCAGCUGGGUGACCUGCACACCUGCCUAAUGAUGGACAUGAAGGCCUGCCAGGAGGACGAUGUGCGGCUGCUAUGCCAUCUCACACCCUCCAUCUACACAGAGGUCAGUGUGUCCAUCCUUAUCCAUGGUCGUGGGUAGUACAGGGGGCUCACAAGUGACCACCUACCUUGGUGUACACUCUGAACAUCACAUACAACCCCUUCUGACCUCAGUGGCCACUGCUUCUCACAGUUUAAUUCUCUUCAUUCCAGUGCUUUCUGUUAAAAGUUGAAUAGUUUUUGAGGCUCCGAGAAUUCUUGUCCUUUGGUUUUAACUGUGGUUUAAGUUGGGGUGUGGACCCAUAUACUUGGCUUCCCGGUUUCAGCCCCAUCAUCUGGGCCUAGAACAGGUCCCCCAGUCAGAUGCAUAUUGGUAUGUCCCAAGCUCUCACCCUGUGAUGGCUCACUCUUGGAUGCUCUCUAAUGGUUCCUGAAGACCAGAGCUCCUGAAGCAGAGAUUCACUUUCAUUUCCCCCAGUUCAUUCACGUCUUCUCUCAGAAUUGGGAUGGAGGAGGAGGUAUCAACUCUUGUUCCUCUUGGUAGAAGUUCCUAGGAAGAGGGAAAUGAGGACUCCGGGUGUGAUCUAACCAGAGGAACUAGGAUCUCAGCCAUGCACUAGGGGCAGGGGGUGGGGUAUCACACCCCCUUUUUGUCCUUCCCUCCUAGACUGGACUCUCCCUCCCCCACCCACCCCUCACAAGCCCCUAGAUACACUCACUCUGUACCUUCUCUUUGUCUUGAGAUGCUGAUGAAUUGGAUUUCUUUGCUGCCAGGAGUAUAAAUAUUUUUCUGUUGCCACUCCCACCUAGAGCCAGCUGGCAUGUCCGGUUAGCUCUGGUUUUUCCCACUUCUCUCCUUGUACACACCCCUUGUGGUGUGCACACACAGAUAACAAACGUGGCAUUUGAAGGGUUGUGUUCCCAGCUUCAUAGCUGUUGGAUCUUGUAGGGAUUUAUGUUAGGAUUCAUGUCUGGCCAGCUUAGCCAGACCUUGAGCCUGUGGUAAGGAAGGUCUAUGAGUUGUAAAGGGAAAGCCAAGGGGCCCACCCUGGACGACUCCUCUAGUUUCCCUCUUCUUCUAUCUAGUUUCCAGAUGAAACCUUGAGGAGUGGGGAGCUGCUGAACAUGAUCGUGGCUGUUAUUGACUCUGCACAGGUGAACAUGGAACUUUGGCAUCUGCAGAAUGGCCUAGAAGGCAGGACUGAGGAAAUCAGGGCCUCUGCUUUCUGUUCAGGCAUACAGGCAGGAGCCCAUGCUCCACAGCACACUGCCUCCUGGCUGCAGUUGGACGUACUUUAGGCCAUGGAGGAUGGGGAGGAAAAGUGCAGAUCAAAGGCCAGUUCUGCUGGGGUUGCUGUUUGUUUGUUUGGGGCGGGUGGGUACCAGGGAUUUAACUCAGGGGCACUGACCACUGAGCCACAUCCCCAGCCCUCUUCUGCAUUUUAUUUAGAGACAGGGUCUUGCUAAGUUGCUUAGCACCUCUUUUUUGCUGAGGUUGGCUUUGAAUUCUUGAUCCUCCUAUCUCAGCCUCCCGCCCGAGCCACUGGGAUUACAGGCAUGUGUCGCUGUGUCCAGCUCAUUUAUUUAUUUUUAUUUAUUUAUUUUGCAGUACUUGUGAUUGAAUUUAGAGGUGCUCUACUGCUGAGUGACAACCUUUUUUUUUUUUUUUUAAUUUUGAGACAGAAUCUUACUAAAUUGCCAUAGGCCUCAAAUUUUUGAUCCUCCUGCUUCACUCUCCUAAAUUGCUGGGAUUACAGGCAUGCACCAUCACACUUGGUGAGGGGUUUUUUUGUUUUUGUUUUUUUCUCAACUGGCCUUCCCCUUGGCUCAGAAUGAAAAUCAUCACAUCAUUUCUACUUGACUUUUCCACCAUGCAUAGGGCCCCAAGAGAUGCUGGGAUUCAUCUCAUGCCUGGACUAAGGAUCCUUUUUUCUCCUGUUUGCUCAUUGGAAAUUAGCACUCAACAGUUCACCUUUCUUUGCCUUUACCUGCCCACGUGUAGGUCUAGAACCUGGCCCCCCAGGUCCUUCACCCACAAGGCUAAACUAAGUAAGACCAGAAGGAAAAGUUGUCCUUUCACUCUGCCAUCAGGGUGUGAAUAGUUUUCCACAAGUGUUCUUGCCCCAGAAUAGGCCCAGGGUUACUACUCAGUUGGUUGCUGUUUGACCAGCCCCUUCAUCCUUCAGAGACUGUAGCUUUCAUGGCAUUAUGCCUCUCCCUUCACAGUGGCCUCUGGCCUCUUUUAGAGCUGAUGACUCUGCCUUUUCCCUCUUCUUCCAUAGCUCCAGGAGCUGGUCUGCCAUGUGAUGAUGGGGAACCUGGUCAUGUUUCGAAAAGAUUCAGUCCUCAACAUACUCAGUAAGUGACCAGACCUUUUAGAUGCCCAGGAGAGGAGAGAGUGUCGGCCUAUGUGUUUUCCAGUGACAAGAACACUGGUUCUGGGGCUGGGAGUGGAGGGGUAGCACGCCACCCCAGCCUACCUGCUAUGUGGUCUUGGAUUGGUCUCUUUCAUAAGAUGGAAAGGUUUACCUCUGUCCCUCUAACUUCAGGGUGGGUGGGAAUACAGAAGCCCUGUGAAGACUGAAAUCAGGUGUCAUGUGGAAAGGGCAAGGGCCUAGAUUUAAGGUCACUGUCCCUCCCCUUACGCCAUCCCUGCCCUAUCUUGUCCCUAUUUGGAGUGCUGAUAGCCAGUUAGCUGAGCGUGUGUGUGUAAGAGAGAGAUAGAUGGAGGUUUCUUGUCUCUUCCAGUCCAGAGCCUAGACUGGGAAACCUUUGAGCAGUAUUGUGCCUGGCAGCUCUUCCUGGCCCACAACAUCCCCCUGGAGACCAUAAUCCCCAUCCUGCAGCACCUCAAAUACAAGGGUGAGUAGGGUUGAAGAUGGGAGAAGACCUCCAGUGCAGCUGGGGCAGGGCUGAGGCCGCCAGCUUCUAGGGUGAACCAGAGCCCUGCUCCUUCCCACCAUGGUGCAGAGAGCAGGCUCACUGUUGGUCAUUGGGCCCUGGAGAUGAGCUUUGCAGGUGCAUCCUGAGCCUGGCCCCUGGGCUGUGGCUCAGAUGCCUCUGGCAUUAGGAUCAGGGUAGGGGAUUCUUCCUGGCUUUUCGUCAAGGACUGUCCUUGGUCUUCCAGUGGCUGUUGGUGGGGGUGUGGGAGAGGUGCCCAGAUCCAUUCGUGGAAUAACACAUUCCUCUGAGCAGCCUGUACCCUUCCCCCAUAGAACACCCAGAGGCCCUGUCCUGCCUGCUGCUGCAGCUCCGAAGAGAAAAGUGAGUUCUACCCUUAGAGACUCUUAGCCCUUAGUCCCAAUGUCCUAAGAGAUACUGUGGCAUAAAGGGCUCUGUCCUGCUCCUUUUGCCAUGUUUGUUUCCUAUUAUUGACAUCUGCUUAUUCUGCCCUCCCCUCAGUGUGACUUACAAAUAAGCAGUCCCCUGGGAUCUGGGCUUCCUCUGACUUUACCCCCCCUGCCCACCAGAAACUGUCCUCAGAGGUGGGGACCGGACAUCCCUGUUUCCUGCUACCACAGCAGUUCUAAUCCUGGUGGCUCAUGCUCCCCUCCCUCAUGCUCCUGCAGGCCACCACAGGCUAAUCCAGGAGGAGGAAGGGUCAGAGUAGAGGGCUCACACCCAUGCUCUCCCUUAACCUACACAGUGCAGAGCCAGCUGGGCCCAUUGUGCCCCUGCCAGGGGUGGGGCAUGGUGGGCAAGAAAGCAGAAGUCUCCUCUUCCAUCACAGGCAACUUAGCACCAUCCCCAGGCUAAUGGGGCCACAGCUGUGUGUCUUUUCCUUCCUACCUUCUUGUCUUCCUUCCACCUUUUCUCCUGAGACACUAGAAAUGGUACAGAAUUUCCUGGGGAAGUGGGAAGUUUGGAGGCCUCUCUCCUGCCCCUCCCUCAACCUGGAUACCAGGCUUACCCCCAGCUCCAGCAGGUCAGGGGACCACAGACUUGUCCUUUGUCUCUUAGUCUCCCUCCUGACUCCUCUGGGGUAGCUAGGAGUUUGUUGGGCCUCCUUCCUGACACAUACUUGCACACUUUCCACCAUCAAACAGAAUAAUCUCACUUCUCCUCUGGCUUCUGCAGAGAGUGCAGCCAUGUGUUCCUUGGCCCAAAGAGAAGUGGGGGAGGGAUGUGAGUGUAGGAAGCGACAGCCAGGCUUGGGUUGGGUAGGGAGGCUCAGAUUCGGGAAAUCAGUAGUAAGUAAGCGGCUCCUAAGGCCAGUGUGUGGGCACAGCAUCCAGCACCCUGCUCCCCCCAGGCCCAGUGAGGAGAUGGUAAAGAUGGUCCUGAGCCGGCCCUGUCAUCCCGACGACCAGUUCACCACCAGCAUCCUGCGGCACUGGUGCAUGAAGCACGAUGAGCUGCUGGCAGAGCACAUCAAGUCCCUGCUCAUCAAGAACAAUAGCCUCCCUCGCAAGAGGCAGAGGUGGGAUGUGGUCCUUGUUUCCUGCCCACUGUCAACGGGGCAUCACCAGGGCAGUCUACAGUGACUGCCGCCUACGGUUGGUGGGUGACAUCUAGUGGUCUGAAGCCAUGCGGCCUAUAGGACCAGUGUGGCUCCUACUCCCCUCUCAUCGUGCCCUGCAGCUGUACACCUUUCUUAGCACACCCAGUCCUCCUAUCUCCCCUGGGGAAUGGACUGCCUCUGUCCUGAGGAGGGAUCUCGGUGAGGUGGAGGUGUCACACGACUGGAGCCCUCCCUUUAGGCUCAGACCAGCUCUUGUCACCUCCCUGUGCAGUCUCAGAAGCUCAAGCAGCAAGCUGGCCCAGCUGACUCUAGAGCAGAUCCUGGAGCACUUGGACAACCUGCGGCUCAACCUGACCAACACCAAGCAGAACUGUAUGCUUCUUACCCUCUUGGGGUCUAGUGCGUGGAGUGCUGCCCAGCUCAGACGCCCCUAAAGCCAGGCGGGUGGCAGGGGCAGAACCAGAACCCAAACUCUUGGGAGGAAACAAGCUUUGGUGUGGUUUAAUAAGCUCCCAGACAUCUAAUCAUUUUUCUUCCCUGCUCUCCUUUCCUUCUCCCUCCAGUUUUUAGCCAGACCCCAAUCCUCCAGGCACUGCAGCAUGUCCAAGCAAGUUGUGAUGAAGCCCACAAGAUGAAGUGAGGCUCCUUCCACUUCUGGUCUUGGGAAGUAGCGAGCAGAAGGCCUAGGGGAGAGGAGGCCCACUGGGGACACAAGCUUAAUAGCCAUCAAGACCCUGAGGUUGGGCUGGGAAUAUAGCUCAGUUGUAGAGUGCUUCUCUUGCAUCACAAGGCUCUGGGUUCAAUCCCCAGCACCGCCAAAAAACACCAACAAAAAAACCCCAAGGUUGAUAAGAGAAAUAGACCUAAGCCUGUGGGCAGAAAACAGCAUGGGAGGUGGCCAUGGGGUCAGGAUGUUCCACUCUGAGAGUUUAUUCUCCUUCCCCUUAGGUUCAGUGACCUCUUCUCCCUGGCAGAGGAAUAUGAGGACUCGUCUACUAAGCCACCCAAGAGCCGGCGAAAGGCAGCUCUGUCUAGCCCUCGAAGUCGGAAGAAUGCCACUCAGCCGCCCAAUGCUGAGGAAGAGUCGGGCUCCAGCAGUGCCUCGGUGAGACCCCGUCCAGCACCAUGGGGAGAGGCGCAAUGGGGCGGAUGGAAUGGGGGCCAGCAGGCAGCUGCCCAGCUAGUGAUUUCCCUUCUCCCCAUCCCCGUCUCUUCCAGGAGGAAGAAGACACAAAACCAAAGCCCACCAAGCGGAAACGAAAAGGGUCUUCUGCCGUGGGUUCUGACAGUGACUGAGAUCCUAUGUUCCCCAUCCUACCCUCAAUUGGACUGCCCUCCCCCUGGUGAAUCAAAGGGUAACAGGGCUGGGGAGAUACAGGGAAGAUGCCCUCCCUGCCCUGAGCUUGCCCAGUGGAAAGGAUGAGCUGCUUCUGACACCAGCCUGAGGAGCUGCCGUGCAGCCCCCCUCUGCCUCUCUGUCCUGGGGCCUCCUGUUCCCCACAUUGCCACUUCCACUGCCAUUUGGGUCUCAUGGCAGCCAGAGGCUGUGCCAGACCAGACCCUGGUGGAAUUGAUCAGCUCCCUGCCCCUCCUUCAGCCCCCUCCCCAUCUCCCAAAGAACGCUUAGCAGAGAAGGGCAGUGACAAAGGGGCGCCUGGCUGAGAGGCUAGGACGAGAGCAGGUGCUGGCUGUGGGUCCGCUUCCUGCUUCCCCGGGUUCUGGAUUUGCUCUGAACACAUGCUCUGUGGUCAUUCUCCACACCAGUGUGUAGUGGGCAUCGACCUGGUAUGGUGGCCACUAUUCCAGGCAGAUGCCAUAAACCUUCAGGAAGGAACCUGAAA
rnacentral:lncRNA from 1 species